UGUUCGGCUGGGACGGCUGAGUAAGUCCUCCGCCGGGCUCCAGGCCCCUGACCCUCUACCCGGCUGCUGGAGCUUAGCGUCCACAGACACCGAGGUCCUGCUGCGAUAUAUGCAAAUCCUGAUUUUCCUCAAAACAUUGAGGCCUGCUCAGACUUGCUUCCUGGAAGAGAACAGUUUAUGAAUUUUUUUUCUCCGCACUUCUUCAAAACUAUCUGAACUAGCUGGGCGUAGUGGUGAAUGCCUGUAAUCCCAGCACUCCAGAGGCUGAGGCAGGAGGAUUGUUGUGAG